CAAAUCUUAGCGGUGGAUCACUCGGUUCGUGGAUCGAUGAAGAACGCAGCUAGCUGCGAUAAAUAGUGCGAAUUGCAGACACAUUGAGCACUAAGAUUUCGAACGCACAUUGCGCCAUCGGGUUCAUUCCCGUUGGCAUGUCUGGCUGAGGGUCGAA
rnacentral:rRNA from 1 species